GAGUGACUGGGGUGCAGACAGGUGCGGUGCAGUCAGCCCUGGAGUCUGCUCACAGGAGAGCACAGGCACAGCCACCAAGUGACCUGCUCAGUGAGACGUCCCCUCUGGCUGGGGCCUCCAGCGCUGUCUUUACAGAGUGGCCGCUCCAUCACAUCUUGAGAGCAGGCCAUCUGGGACACGGCUGGGCUCAGCUCUCGGGCUCUGUCUCUAGGAGACAGAUACACACUGGGAUUCCAGAACCUUCUAAAAAGGCCAGGCUAGAUGAGGUGCUGUGAGACAGAGUCCUGUCUAAGGAGGUGACACUUCCUUGAGAUCCGAGUGACAGGGGGGAGCUGCCAGACAUUCUGACACACUACUGACAGAAAGGCUUGGGAUGAAUGUGGGGAGAUUUGAACCUCAGCCUGACAACCUGAGCAGGGAGAGCCACAGGCAGUGGCUGUCUCUCAGAUAACUCAGGUGCUACAUAUGCCUUUUCCAAUACUCAAAAUCAGGUGCACUUAACAGCUUUUCCUUCCACUGAGUGGAAGUGAGGUCAUUAAGAACAAGAGAAGCCCUUUCAAAUUCUUUAUGUCCGAAGACUCAAACCUGUUCCGUCUUUAACUGACACAGACACAUCACUGGACUCCAUGCCGGGAAGCCAGCAAGCAGUUACCAUGUCAGAGGACAGUGGACCCAGAGCUGGCAGGUUUGAUGGUUUCUAGAAAAGACUUCUCUGCCACGGCUACCCAAAGCCAUCCUUUCAAAUGCAACUCUUCAAAGCCUUGGGGCACCUCAGAGAUUGAGAAAGUGACCAGCUAGGUGGCAGUACUGACUGGCUCCUGGCUGCCGGUCCCUGGGCACAGCCACACAGCCUACGGCAGCACGUGACUGACUCCUAGAAUAGCGUCUGGCUCCUCACAGAGGCAAGAAGGCCGUGCUACGUAACACUCGGGUCAGAUGAGAUGAAGCAUGUGGAGAAUAGGGGGACAGGAUUAUGACAGGAGCACUUCCUGGGCCGAGGAGGUUUGCACGUCUAUCCCAGAACAGAGUUCUGAGCAGUUGAAGGCUCGAGGAGACACGUUAUCAAACAAGGAUGUUUUAUGAGAGUACACCUAAUAACAACGACACCUCAAGAAAGGACAAGAACUUGGCACAUCUUGCUUCUUCCCUCAUUAUGCCUUGAUACUAUGGGCAUAUGUGAAAGGAUUCAGACAAAGCAUGAACUACCUGCCAUUCGGAGAGGGAAAAGCACAGAACUUGAACUGUUAAUGCCAGGAAAGAGGCCAGCAUGAAAGGCUUACACAUUCCAGCUACAGGUUAUUACAGGGCCACAAAACCAGCAGGGAAGCCAUGUUUGCUAUAGGUGGACAGGCAGGAGGGAAACUGAAGAACUGGGCUUUUGAAGGCCGUGAAGCAGAUCUGGGCAUGCUGUGAGGGUGGGCACGCAUACUGCCCCCGUACAGAGCAUGCGCAGCGUGGACACUAAGCCAGAACUAAGGCCUGGCUGACAGCCAUGUGUCAGUGGGCUCUACAGUAACCAAGGUGCCAUGCAGCUUGUGGUGGGGUGGGGGAUGGGAUGGAAACUACUGUAUUCUCUGCUCA